rnacentral:rRNA from 1 species
GAUGAACGCUGGCGGCGUGCCUAAUACAUGCAAGUCGAGCGAACAGACGAUGAGCUUGCUCCUCUGACGUUAGCGGCUGACGUGCGAGUAACACGUGGAUAACCUACCUAUAUGACUGGGAUAACUGCGGGAAACCGGAGCUAAUACCGGAUAAUAUAUUAAACCUCAUUGUUCAAUAGUGAAAGACGGUUUUGCUGUCACUUAUAGAUGGAUCCUCGCCGAAUUAUCUAUUUGGUAAGGUAACGGCUUACCAAGGCAACGAUGCGUAGCCGACCUGAGAGGGUGAUCGGCAACACUGGAACUGAGACACGGUCCAGACUCCUACGGGAGGAAGAAGUAGGGAAUCUUCCGAAAUGGGCGAAAGCCUGACGGAGCAACGCCGCGUGAGUGAUGAAGGUCUUCGGAUCGUAAAACUCUGUUAUUAGGGAAGAACAAAUGUGUAAGUAACUAUGCACGUCUUGACGGUACCUAAUCAGAAAGCCACGGCUAACUACGUG